rnacentral:rRNA from 1 species
GUUGCCAGCGGUUCGGCCGGGAACUCUAGGGAGACUGCCGGUGACAAACCGGAGGAAGGUGGGGAUGACGUCAAGUCAUCAUGGCCCUUAUGGGCAGGGCUACACACGUGCUACAAUGGGCGGUACAGAGGGUCGCUAACCCGCNAGGGGGAGCCAAUCCCACAAAACCGUUCGUAUUCCGGAUCGGAGUCUGCAACUCGACUCCGUGAAGUCGGAAUCGCUAGUAAUCGCAAAUCAGAACGCUGCGGUGAAUACGUUCCCGGGCCUUGUACACA